GACGAACGCUGGCGGCGUGCUUAACACAUGCAAGUCGAACGGAGUGGCGAACGGGGGAGUAACACGUGGGUGAUCAGCCUUGCACUUCGGGAUAAGAUUGGGAAACUGGGACUAAUACCGGAUAGUGCAAGAGGAGCUCGCGGCCUAUCAGCUUGUGGGUGGGGUAAGGGGACACCAAGGCGUCGACGGGUAGCCGGCCUGAGAGGGUGUACGGCCACAUUGGGACUCGGAUACGGCCCAGACUCCUACGGUGGGAAUCAGUGGGGAAUAUUGCACAAUGGGCGGAAGCCGUAUGCAGCGACGCCGCGUGUGGGAGUAAGGCUUUCGGGUUGGAAACUCCUUUCGACAGGGACGCGGUACCUGUAUAAGAAGCACCGGCUAACUACGUGCCAGCAGCCGCGGUAAUAC
rnacentral:rRNA from 1 species